ACCGGGCAUGGUGGUGUGCACCUGUAGUCCCAACUACUUGAGAGGCUGAGGUAGAAGGAUUGCUUUAGUCCAGGAGCUCUCAGCUGUAGUGCACCAUGCCGGUCAGGUGUCCACGCUAAAUUAAGUAUCAAUAUGGUGACCUCCCAGGAGCAGGGGACCACAAGGUUGCCUAAGGAGGGGUGAACCAGCCAAGUGAGAAACAGAGUAGGUCCAAACUACCAUUUGUAGGCCGGGCAUGGUAGCUCAUGCCUGUAAUCCCAGCACUUUGGGAGGCCAAGGUGGGCAGAUCACCUGAGGUCAGGAGUUCAAGACCAGCCUGGCCAAUAUGGCGAAACCACAUCUCUA
rnacentral:SRP_RNA from 1 species